AGUGGUACGUAUCUCAGCUUACCAAGUGACUAUGUAAGUCAAUGUUUCGAAUUACUCUGAUUUUUUUCUAGAAAAUAUGAAGAAAAAAACAACAAACUUGACUCCCUUUGAAGAAACUUCUAAGGGAUUUUGACCAUCAAAUCGCAAAUUCCUCGUUUUUCUGUUUUAUUUGAAUUUUUUCUAUUUUCAUAUUUUAAAAAAAAUCCAAAAAAAUUGGUGGAUU
rnacentral:lncRNA from 1 species